AUUAACCCAACCCUUUCUAGCCAACAGUCUAUAUACCACCGUCGCCAGCUUACCUUAUGAAAGAAAUACAGUGAGCUAAACAAUCAAACAUUAACACGACAGGUCGAGGUGUAACUUAUGAAGGGGAAAAAGAUGGGCUACAUUUUCUAAAACAGAAAAUACGGACAAACUACGAAACAAGAAACUGAAGGCGGAUUUAGCAGUACAUUAAGAAUAAAACACCUAAUAGAAACCAACGCAAUGAGACGCGUACACACCGCCCGUCAUCCCUGCAAACAACAACAUACAUCUAUAAACCUACUACCUACAAACCCAGGGCAAGUCGUAACA
rnacentral:rRNA from 1 species